UACGGGGGGAGCAAGCGUUGUUCGGAUUUACUGGGCGUAAAGGGCGCGUAGGCGGCCAGCACAAGUCAGUUGUGAAAUCUCCGAGCUUAACUCGGAAAGGUCAACUGAUACUGUGCGGCUAGAGUGCGGAAGGGGCAACUGGAAUUCUUGGUGUAGCGGUGAAAUGCGUAGAGAUCAUGAGGAAGACCAGUGGCGAAGGCGGGCCUCUGGACAGUUCCUGACACUGAGACACGAAGGCCAGGGGAGCAAACGGG
rnacentral:rRNA from 1 species